CUCCUCUCUCUCUUUCGAAUUUUCUCUCCGUCUUUCUAGGCAACCGACUGUCGGCGGCCUCCCUCGGAUCGCAGCGUUGCCCCACUAAUCUGUUCCCAAGCCAUGCCUCUGCCCGCUGCCGCCCCCAUCCAGCUCAGGGAGCAACCCUGACGUUCUCCCUAUCUCCUUGCCCCCAGAUCUGGACAGCGCCUCCAGUUCUUUCACAGAUUUGGAGGGGAAUAUGAGUCAAGGGGCAGGAUCGGAGAAAGGCCAAAGAGAGGUUCAGGUCGGCUCUAGGGCGGAAGCUUCGACGGUUGAAGGCCGGGUUGGGUGUUGGGGUAUUCCCUCUAUCUGUCUCGCUGAUGUUGUGAUGGCGGCGCAAGUCUGGUCAUUGGGGAGGAGAGGUGAGGACGUCACAGAUGGAUGGAAGCGGCAACAGAAGCAGAUUAAUUUUUCAAUCAUUUCUGGAUCGUCAAACUUGCACAAGUACAACAAGCGAUUCAAAGAAAGAAUGAUACACGGGCUAACUUAUGUGAACGAGAAGCUUGAUUGAUUGGGGCAUCAGGGCUUGGUAUUUCUUCCUGCAGGUUUUGUGAACUCCGUAGUGACUUGCAAGACAUCACCCCCAAGCAUAUAUUAGUUUUGACUUGCAAGCAUGUAUGUAAGGGUCUUCUUUCUGGUUCAGUUUUUUUAUUCGGUCUGUAAGGAUUCCAUUUGGUUCCUUGAUCCCUUCUUGCAGGUUUUGUGAACUCCGUCUGAAGAGGGAGUUCGAGUACAAUUUCAAUUCAGGCAUAGCCGAUACAAAUUUCUUGUUUCUCCGGUACUUUAUCACUGUUAGCCGAAUUCAGAACCCCAUAGCAUGACAAAUUACAUGAUAUUUUUGAUAAUUUUUUCCCAAUACAACUAUAAGGAAAAAUACACCAAAAUACGUCCAAGUAAUCUUGUUUGACAAUAGUAGAGUUAUGCAGAUUUGUUGCGAUACGAUACAUAUGAUUGAGUAUAGAUCUGCUCAUCAAUAUUUUGGACCAAGUAUAGUGUAUUUUGGCUCUUUUUUUUAUCAUUCACGCAUGAUAGAUACUAAGUUUUGCAUCACCUAAGUUUAGUACAGACUCAGGUUAAGGUUCUUCCCAAGUCAAUAAUUUGUUGAUAGAAAGAACAGUAAUGCGACGAUCUAUGAAUUUUCUAGACAUCUGCAGUUCUUUCUUAGGGGAUCUCUCCCGAAGUUUUAUUUCCACAUUACAUAUAUAAUGUUGAACAUCAUAUAGGCAGUUUGAUGGUGUGGUACUAAGUCUACGAACUCGGUGAGCUCAGAUGUACAUCACUCUGAGCUCAAGAGAAUGAUGGAUGAUUACGGUGAUUUUAUUCAGGCUCACUCUCCAUUGUGGCGAUUGGACUACAAAGUACAAGCACUUGGUAAAAAGGUUUACCUUGAACAUCCCUUACUUUAGUGGUAAUCGUGCAAUGUAGUAGUGUCUCCAUUGGAUAAUUAUGUCAUCGUAAUAUCCAUCUGGUAAGGUAAUUAUCCAGCAAGGCAGGAUGAGUCCAUUGGAUGUGGUGUGCAAUGUAGUAGUGUCUCCAUUGGAUAAUUUUUUAAUCAUAAAACUUAUAACUACACCCUGUCUAUUUUGUUUGAAGGCAUAUGGUGUGCAAUUACCUUACCAGAUUGAGUCUUAGCCUCAGGAUUUCAUAACAAGUUGUGGCUUUAUGUUAUUAUGUAGCAGCCAUCCAUUACAGGUUUUAGGAUAAGCUGUUUUCUGUGUACAUAUAGGUGAAAUUGAGCAAUUCUACAUGGUUGUUCAUUUCCCUUUUUUUCUACCACAACCAGGUGGCCUAUCUUGUUUCUUCAGUGCCUCUUCGAUAGUGCCCCUUCACCUUGGUCGUUCCUGCUUCUUUCUGGAACCUAUGAUGGAGGGGGUCAUGGUAAAAGUUCCACCAUUCAUAUUUGUUCUAGCUCAACUUGGUGUUGUUCUUGUUGGUGGUAGCUGUUGAUUUUGCCAGCCUAUGAUAGGAAAAUAACAUUGCUUCUGUUAUAUCUCCAGUUUAUUUAGUGCCAUCUUACAUACCAGAAUUAAAUAUUGAGGCUUCACAUCAUUUGUGGAUUAGCCUAAUGAUUUCAGAACUUGAAACCGUUCGUAGAUUGAGGCUGCACAUACAAACCUGAAAGUAUUGCUAGAAUGAAUGAACUGCUAGCAUCCAGUGCAUGAGAAUCAGAGAUUUAUUUUGGUGCUGGUAGGAGCUAGGGCUUUACCGGGUCUAGGCCGGAGGUUGUAGGGGAAGGAGGGAGCUGGACGUGGACGAACACGCGGCUGCCGGCGGCUGGGCGCCGUCGUGCGCGAGGGAGGAGGCGGCGGCGUUGGCAGGAGGCGGCUAGGGUUAGGUCUCCCGACUCCCUAAGGAAGCCUGCUUCUUGCUUAAUUCCAAAACGGGUCCUUACACGAGUUUAUAUAAUCCUCCUAAUAAGAUAAUUGGGCUAAGCCCCUAAUAACGAUAAGAUAAACUUGGGCCACAACUAACUGGGCUAACCCCCUAAUAUGCCCGUCAUAACAUUUCUCCCUGUCUGCACAAACAGCUCGUCCUCUAGCUGGAAGGCGGGGAAGCGCAUGCGGAACUGGAAGGCGGGGAAGCGCAUGCGGAACUCCUCGAGGUGAUCAACCAGCGUCAAACACCUCCGCGUAAGCUGGGGCGGGCAGGUCGCCAAGCCCGCCGGCGGCCGCGUCCUCCUCAAUGUAGUCAGCGGCCUCCAGGUAGAAGAGUCGCGGGCAGACGUGGCCGGGCACAUAGGGCUCGUCGCAGUUGAAGCACAACCCUUGGUGGCGACGCUCGAGUAGCUCAGCCGAGGUGAGCCGGCGGAACGGGCGCGCCGCGGUCGCGGCGAGGGGUGCCGCGGAAGCCUGAGCAGGCCGACCUUGCGCGGGAACGUCCGGCCAGGGUGGCGGCCCAGCGGCCCGGGACGGUGAUGCCUACUGGAUCGCCACCGCACGGCGCUCGAACGCACGGGUGUAGUACAUGACCGUCUGGAGGUCCUGGGGUCCCCGCAGCUCCACGUCCACGCGGAUAUGAUCCGGCAGACCGCCGACAAAGAGCUCGGCCCGCUGGCGAGCCGUCACGCCGGGCGCGUGGCACGCCAGGGCCUGAAAGCGAUCGGCGAAGUCCUGCACCGUAGAGGUGAAGGGAAGGCGGCCCAACUCCGCCAGCCGGCUCCCGCGUAUCGGCGGCCCGAAGCGAAGGAGGCAUAGCUCAUGAAAGAGCUCCCAUGGGGCAUGCCACCCUCGUCCUGCUCGAGGGCGUAAUACCACGUCUGUGCGGCGCCUCGGAGGUGAUAGGAGCCGAGCCAGGUGCGGUCUGACGCGAGCGUGCGUUGCCUCUGGAAGAACUGCUCACACUGAUUAAGCUAAUUGAGGGGGUCCUCGGUGCCGUCGUAGGUGGCGAAGUCGACCUUGGUGAAGCGCGGUGGUGUCUGAGUAUGACCGUCGCGGCCGUACGGCUCGGCGGUGCAGAGUAGCGAGGGGGACGGCGCCUGGUCGGUGGACACAGGGGAUCCCCCGUGGAACGGCGGCCCGUCGAGGCCAGCGUAGGGGCUCACGGAGCCGGAGGGCCCGCCGUACUGCAGGGUGGGCGCCGGCUGUUCCAAGGCCAUCGUGUAGACCGGCUGCGGCAACGACCCGGUCAACCAGGCCGGAAGCGGUGACGGCGAGGGUGGGAACCGGACCUGGUGGAUCAGGACUCCCGCCGGCGCGGUCGGAGCCGGGCCGGAGCUGACCGGAGGUGGCGACGGCAGCUGUAGCGGGGCGAUGGGCAGCUGCAGCGGCUGCUGCAAUAGGGUGACGGUCGCGGCGGAGGCCGCCAGGGGCGGCGGCUGCCACGGCUGCCAGGGCGAUGGCGGCAGCAACUGCAGCGGCCCGGCGAGCGCGGCGGAGGCCACCGGGUGCGGCAGCUGCCAAGGCAGCAGCAUCGGCCCGGUGACGAUGGUUGGUGGCGCGGCCGGUGGUGGCACGUAGCUUGCUUGAUUAGAUUGAUACAUCUCCUCCCCUUAUAUAGAGAGGUUUACUUGACUCCUAAGCAAGCGACCCUUAUCUCUAAUUAACCCUAAGACUAACGGGCUAUACCGCCAGCCCAGACCCAUUAGGCCCAUUACGUACUCUAACAGGUGGCAUGACGCUUUUAGAGAGCAGUUGUCAUUAACUUUGAUUGUACACCCCUUCUGGUUUCCCCCUCUUGAAUUCCCAUUUGGAUACUUUCUUAUGACGAAAGAGGUUUUAUCUGGUACUAAAGAUCUUAUUUUUGUUUUGAGUGAUUUAAACUUUCAUUAUAGACCGUGAUCAGAAUUGUCUUCAGGAAGGUUUGAUUGGAGUUUCUCUUGAUUGGAUGAUCUCAAGUCGCCUGUUUUAUAAAUGAUUCGAAUAUGUCUCAGAAGUCUGGUUAGGAGUUGGGACUAAGCAAUGCAUGGAAACUGAGUGGUUCAUGGGAAACUACUUUUGUAGAUAUUAAACUCCAUCACACAUGGAAGAGCGGGUAGCUCUGAAACUGACCAUGUUUCCUUUUCCUUGCAUUACUUUCUUUAUAGGUAGCUCAUAAAUGGAGAGAAAGGUUUUAUCCAGUUUUAUGAAGUCUUUUUUGUUAUGCCUGAGUGUUUAAUACUCCCUCCGUCCGAAAAUACUUGUCAUCAAAAUGGACAAAAAAGGAUGUAUGUAGAACUAAAAUACAUUUAGAUACAUCUUCUUUUAUCCAUUUUGAUGACAAGUAUUUUAGGACGGAGGGAGGGAGUAUAAUUGAUGUUUUGAUGUUUCCUGUUUCUCUUUAUGUCUUGAUGCAAAGAAGCAGGGUCAGUUUCAGAGCUACCCGCUCUCCCACACACACAUGGGCCAAGAGAAAUGCAGUUAUGGAGGAUAAUUGUAGAAACUAAAUAUAUUUAUUUUAGCAGUAUUCAUAUACUAGCGUUGUGGUUAUGUUUAAAGCUUCAGACUCUGAUUUUGAGCAUCCGGGAAAUUGCCUUGACUCAUUCUUAUUACAAAAACAAACGAUAUGUUCAGGAAACAUUUUACUUUGAUGUUAUCCUCUCAUAUGAAAAUCCUUUUGAUGUUAAUUGUGCCAACAAGCGCCAUGUGUCAUUUUUAGUAAACAGUUUUAUCCAAAUUCCGAACUGAACAUGUUCAUACACGUAACUACAGCUCUUCUCCAAUAUGCUAACGUUGUGUUCUCAUUUAUCAUGCUAAAUAUACGUAGCUAUGAAAGGCAUUAACUUCUAAUCCUAUAGUUUCCAAAUAUCAUCUAGCUUCUGCUUAGGCAAUC